UACAGAGGUCUCAACCGUUGUUCGGAUUCAUUGGGCGUAAAGGGUGCGCAGGCGGUUGGGUGUGUCAGAUGUGAAAUCCCGAGGCUCAACCUCGGAACUGCGUCUGAAACUACUCGACUAGAGUACUGGAGAGGGUAACGGAAUUCACGGUGUAGCAGUGAAAUGCGUAGAUAUCGUGAGGAACACCAGAGGCGAAGGCGGUUACCUGGACAGUUACUGACGCUCAGGCACGAAAGCAUGGGGAGCAAAAGGG
rnacentral:rRNA from 1 species